UAGGUUAGGUUAGGUUAGGUUAGGUUAGGUUAGGUUAGACAGACAGAUAGAUAGAGAUAGAUAAAUAGGUUAGGUUAGGUUAGGUUAGGUUAGGUUAGGUUAGACAGACAGAUAGAUAGACAGAUAGAUAAAUAGGUUAGGUUAGGUUAGGUUAGGUUAGGUUAGACAGACAGAUAGAUAGAUAGAUAGACAGAUAG